rnacentral:lncRNA from 1 species
CCACUAGUAGAAAACUGCUCUAAAGGCACGGACUUAUACCGUGUAAAUAGUUGUGGACGUAGGCACCACUCUCUUUCGUCAGUUGAAAUUCAAAAUCUUGGUCAAAAUAGGCACUGAUGCAUGUGCCCACUGCUCCAUCCUACCUCACAGGGUCACACCCACCUCUCUCUCUCUCCCUCUCUUAUAUAAUACAUUAAAAUUAAAAACUUUCUUAUCAAAAAACCAAAGUAAAG